GCAUCGAUGAAGNACGCAGC
rnacentral:rRNA from 1 species